rnacentral:lncRNA from 1 species
AAUUCGGAAUUCUGAAGGGGAAUUUUGAAGAAUUUGCAAUUCUGAAGGGAAAUUUUGGAAGGAUUUGGAAUUCUGAAGGGAAAUUGUAGAAGAACUGCAAUUUUUAAAGGGGAAUUUUGGAAGAAUUCUGAAUUGCAAAGGGGAAUUUUGAAAGGAUUUGAAAUUCUGAAGGGGAAUUUGGAAAGGAUUUUGGAAUUCUAUGGAGGAAUUUUCAAAGGAUUCUGAAUUCUACUGCAACAUUCCAGAAGAAUUCUGAAUUUUGAAGGGGAAUUUUGGAAGGAUUCGGAAUUCUGAAGAGAAAUUGCAAAAGAAUUGCAAUUUUCAAAGGGAAUUUUGGAAGAAUUCUGAAUUCCGAAGGGGAAUUUUGGAAAGGCUUUUAGGGAACCAUUUUGAAAGGGUUCCAAAUCCC